ensembl:lncRNA
UGGAAGUACAGGCGCAAACAGGAACGGGCACUGUGAAAUCAGGGCUAUGUCUUAUCUAUACUCUUCUCUGUACCUGCAGUAAAUGGAUGUGGUUGAUAACACCUCAGAAGGCAGGAAUCUUUGCAGUUCACUCCUGAUGUCAUUGUCUCACCUGACUUCAAAUUCUGUCCGUCCCCAGCCUUCAGAAUUUGAGACGCAUUAUUCAAAGUGUUUUCCUUCCGCCCACCAUAUGACAUUGCUUCCUUCAUUUUCAAGUAUUACAAUGGUCAACGUCAUGAAGCCUGGAAACAAGACUGACCUCACAAGUGGCUGCCAAACAGGACACCUGAUAGAAUUUGGGAACACUGUGAUGUCAACAGAGAAACACUGAUUAGAUCCAUUGAUUACAGCAGAUGAGAAUUCCAAUUCAGC